GACGAACGCUGGCGGCGUGCCUAAUACAUGCAAGUAGAACGCUGAAGGAGGAGCUUGCUCUUCUGGAUGAGUUGCGAACGGGUGAGUAACGCGUAGGUAACCUGCCUGGUAGCGGGGGAUAACUAUUGGAAACGAUAGCUAAUACCGCAUAACAGUAGAUGUUGCAUGACAUUUGCUUAAAAGGUGCAAUUGCACCAUUACCAGAUGGACCUGCGUUGUAUUAGCUAGUUGGUGGGGUAACGGCUCACCAAGGCGACGAUACAUAGCCGACCUGAGAGGGUGAUCGGCCACACUGGGACUGAGACACGGCCCAGACUCCUACGGGAGGCAGCAGUAGGGAAUCUUCGGCAAUGGACGGAAGUCUGACCGAGCAACGCCGCGUGAGUGAAGAAGGUUUUCGGAUCGUAAAGCUCUGUUGUAAGAGAAGAACGAGUGUGAGAGUGGAAAGUUCACACUGUGACGGUAUCUUACCAGAAAGGGACGGCUAACUACGUG
rnacentral:rRNA from 1 species